UACGUAGGGUGCAAGCGUUGUCCGGAAUUAUUGGGCGUAAAGAGCUUGUAGGCGGUUUGUCGCGUCUGCUGUGAAAUUUCGGGGCUCAACCCCGAACUUGCAGUGGGUACGGGCAGACUAGAGUGUGGUAGGGGAGACUGGAAUUCCAGGUGUAGCGGUGAAAUGCGUAGAUAUCUGGAGGAAUACCGGUGGCGAAGGCGGCAUCCUGGACCGGCAUUGACGCUGAGGAGCGAAAGCCAGGGGAGCAAACGGG
rnacentral:rRNA from 1 species